rnacentral:lncRNA from 1 species
AAAAAUGGACAUCAAAUGGAUGAAAUAGAAUAUUUUUAAGCUAGGGGCAUUUUGGUAAUCUAGUAAUUAAAAUGGAUUAAAAACAAAAUUAAAAGCCAAUUUUUGUCUAUCUUCUAUCCCAUGGCCGAAACUUGCAUGGAGAAGACAUAUCUAGGGUUUUUCAAGCUUCCAAGCUCGAUUGUAAGUCCAUUCUAGCCCUAUUUUUAAUGAUUUUUACGUUUUUGAAAUCCUCGUAACAAGAUCUACU